UUUCUUAGAGGUGGACCCCACCAAUUUUUAGAGUCUUGGACAAUUUUAGGGAGCAAUUGCCGAGACACACAAGGAAGUCUCCACUAUUCAUUUCACUUUGCAUGUAUGAACUCUCUCUUGGAGACCAUGUAGGGUUUUCCGUUUUUGGCUCUAUGGAAUGACGAAGAUCAUAUUUUUCUUCUUCUCUACUUAAAUCUUUUUUAUCUUUGCUUGGUGGAAGUGAAUCCCUCACCC
rnacentral:lncRNA from 1 species